GUCUACGGCCAUACCACCCUGAACGCGCCCGAUCUCGUCUGAUCUUGGAAGCUAAGCAGGGUCGGGCCUGGUUAGUUCUUGGAUGGGAGAAGCUUACAUUGAGUGGUAACCUAGAAGGCAAAUGGACA
rnacentral:rRNA from 1 species